rnacentral:sRNA from 1 species
AAAAAAGAAAGAAAAAACC